UUUUAACAAUAAAAUAAUAUUUGACCAAUAAAUGAUGUACAAGUGUUCUUAUGGGUUCUACUCUCUCUCAUACUUUUUGAUUAUAUUUUAUUUUUAUAUUGAACAGUUUUCUCAAUGAAAAACCAUUGAUGGAGAUGGUCUUAGUAACUACGACUCUUUAUAUUCACCAUCUAGACAAACAAAAAUUCCUCUCCUGCAUCACAUUUCCUGUUAGGUUUUGAGUUUAAGCAUGCCGAAACA
rnacentral:sRNA from 1 species